AGAGAGAGAGAGAAAGAGAGAGAGAGAGAGAGAGAGAGAGAGAGAGAGAGAGAGAGAGACGCGUAAGGAAGAAGAAGAAGAAGUGUCGGGUUAUGUUAUUAAAAGAUAUCCUACCGAAUUCCGAUGAAAGAGGCCCAUCGGUUAUAUUUCAUCGGAAAUACGUCGGAAUAUUAAGUUUUACGCGGUUAACGAAAUGAUUUCCGCGAAAAAAGUUCGCGGGUUGUGAAAUAAUCCGACCGAAUUCCGACGAAAUAUUAUCCGUCGGCAAGGUUUCGUCGGUAAUUCGUCAGAAUAUUGCGGAAACGUGUACGCGCAACGUGUCGCCGAAGAAUAAUAAUUCGUCGGAAUAUGCGUCGGUAGUUUCCGACCGAAAACCGACGAAACUUCCUACGGUUUUCCGACGAAAGAGGGUAUAGGGUUUCAAAACUUCAAUAUAAUGCUCUAAUACAAAACUCUUAUAAAAAGAAUAACUUAAAAAAAUUGAUUUAACUUCUUCUUAUACAAAUUAAAUAUAUAUGAUUAGAUUUUGAAAUAUGUUUGUUGUUUAAAUAUAUAAGUGUUAUGAAAGAUGUUUUGAAUAAGUUGAUAUAUAUAUGUACAUAUAGAGUUUUUAUAAUUGAAUAAACUUAAACCACUCUGAACAUUAUAUUACACAUCUAAUAUGUGUUAUUUGGUAUUUUAGCAUCCACUUUUACAUUAUAUAAGAAAAACGAAAUUAUAAAACUACAAUUUUUUGGAAAACGGUCAGAAAUUUCCGACGGAAUACCGACGACGCAUCGUGGUUCGUCGGAAUUUCGUCGGAAAUUUCCGAUGGAAUACCGACGAAAGUAUUUAUACCGGAUUUCAGACCUCAAUAUAAUGCUCCAAAAAAAUACUUUUAUAAUAAACAGAUGGUUUUAAUGAAAUAUGUAUAAGAGUUAAUGAAAGAUGUUAUGAAUAACUCCAAUACCUUAUAAUUAGAAAUAACAACUCCAAUAACUCACAUAACUCCUCCAAUAACUCAUAUAAGUCUAAUAAUGUAUAAAAAACAACUCCAAUAACAUACAUAACUUCAAUAACUUAUAAAAAAUAACUCUAAAAAUACAAAUCUACUCAGAAUCUGUAGAAUCUUCAAAAUCUUCAGAAUCUUCGUCAAAUUCUCCAACCUCAGGCUCUGAUUCCGAGUGCACAACAGCAUCAUCUCCAAACUCAGAUAAAUCGACAACGAGUUCAAAAUUUUCUGAAUUUUCAACUGGAUUCACGUUGCUGGUAGAGCUUGGUUGUAAUGGUUCGUUAUCACAACUUCCAUGUACUCUUCCUCUUGGUUUGAUUAACGUUACAGUGAUCCAGGGAUCGUCUCUGUACGUUACUCGUGGGUAACUGAUGUAGCAAACAUGUAAAUAUAUUGUAAGUAAUUAGUAAUACUUGAAAAUGAUAACUAUAUUGUUAAACCAUUAUGAAUAAAUUGACAUACCUGAUCAGCUUGUGAAGCAAGAAUGAAAGGAUCAUAAUAUUGAAGUUUCCUUCGCGAAUGAAUCGAUGUAACACCAAAUGCAUCAGUUUUCACUCCUCGACCUGGAGUGUUGUCGUACCAAUCACAACAGAAUACAGUACACCGCAAUCCAACCAUACCAGGAUACUGAAUUUCCAAAAUUUCCUUAAUGUUGCCGUAGUACACAUCGUCACCGGAUGAAGACAAAACACCAGCAUCAUAAGUUGUCCUAGAAUGACCUUUCCUUGUGAAUGCGUAUCCUCGAGUACAAUAUUUUGGAUAUGAUUUGACCACAUAGUUUGGUCCCCGCACAAACUCGCAUAUCCAAUCAUCGAACACUUCACCUCUAGCCAAACCUUCAGUCACCUAUGAUGAAAAAAAUGUUAGUGAUAAGUUAUUUCACAAAACAUAUAACUCUUUUUUCACAUGUACACACUCACAUAAUUAAGAAGCCAUCCAGCAAAUCUGUUAUGGCUGAGUUGUUCAAGCUCCUCUUCUGUGGCAUGUCUGUAAGUCAAACGCAACUAUGCCAUAUAAACACUAUACAAAAAUUAUGUUAUUAGUAUGAAAUAAAAGUUAUUGAAUAUUCUUACAAUGAAAUAGGAAAAAAAUAUUUACCUCUCAUACUGUAGAACAUCUUCACAGUUGGUGAGCAAAUAUGUUUGCAAAUAAAUGUGCUCCGUCUCAGUAAGUCUUCGCUUUGUGGAUUUUCCACUAAGUCGUCCAAUUUCCUUAAAGAUGUUUGGAACGUAAACAUAAUACGUUGCCCUUUGCCCUCCAUCAUCAUGCCGAAUAGGUUUUCGGUUUUUUGUGUGCACUUCUGAUGGAAAGUAGUUUUUAGCAAAGAUUGAGGUUUCUUCAUUAAUCACCAAAACACGCUUUGUAUUAAUGUUUUUCUUAUUUACGAAUUCAAUAAAACUCUCGAUUUCGACUUUAUAUUCAUUCUUAUUGCCACUAGGUUUCAUCAUAUAUUUCCUUGCUUUACCCAUAUUUUCACCUCGUAUAUAAAAGAUCAGAGAGGUUUAGAUCUUAGAGGGGCCGCAAGAGAAUAUAGAACUCAGUUAUACGAUGUGACAAAUAUAAUAAUAACAUAUCAAGGAUAGGAUGUGGAAUUCCUAGUAAGGACAAAACCUUAGCCCUAAUUUUCACCCUCUUAAAUCUCUCUUGUAUCUUUCUUCUCCAUCCCCUCCCACCGAUUUCCAUGGCCGCUGAGCUAUUCGAAAAGGCUAAGACGGGCGUCUUCCGGGACGCAGAGGAUUGCAAAAUUCCUUCCGGUCUCAACGCUAUUUUAGUUUCAAAGAAUAUCCGAUCGGGUCUUAAGGAUACAUGUUACCUUGGUUUGACGUCCAUAUUUGCGUAUGGAAGUACCGAAGAUAUCAUGGUUGGCUUUGACUCAUCCGCCGGUAAAGUGGUCUAUCGCACAACCGCAGCUUUGGAUUACAAUGGUGGAGGAGAGAUCUAAGAAAAUGAAUUACCCGAAACAGAAACCGCAGGUGAAUUGAAUUCCAUGUUUUUCUGUUUCUUUGAUCUCGGUUUAUUUAAUUAAGAUCCGCUUGUUUAUAGAUAUCAUUUCAAGAAGUGAAUGCCCACCUGCAGUUGUGAUGAAUCUCACAGAGCCAGGAGAUAAACACCAAAGAUAUGGUGCGUUGAUUACAGGCGUUUUCAGCUGGGCACUUAAUAAUCAUCCACCAGCAAAUUUGAUACUAGUUGUCGGAGACGUCGCAGAACAUGAGUACAGAUUCGUUGGUGUUUUCACGCAUCUUAUUUCUUCAGGGUACAAUGUUGCCUUUGUACAGCCUGAAAACCAAGCAUCACAAAUACUAUUUAGGCUUGGAAGAAGAAUUUGGCUGUGGGAAAAGCUAUCACUUGGAGAAGGCCCUAUCCGCAAACAGAAACCUCCAAACUU